AAUGGCCUACCAAGGCUAUGACGGGUAGGGGGCCUGAGAGGGCGAUCCCCCACACUGGCACUGAAACACGGGCCAGACACCUACGGGUGGCAGCAGUAGGGAAUAUUGCCCAAUGGACGAAAGUCUGAGGCAGCAACGCCGCGUGCGCGAUGAAGGCCUUCGGGUUGUAAAGCGCUUUUCUGGGGGAAGAGAAAGGACGGUACCCCAGGAAUAAGUCUCGGCUAACUACGUGCCAGCAGCCGCGGUAAAACGUAGGAGGCAAGCGUUAUCCGGAUUUAUUGGGCGUAAAGCGCGUGUAGGCGGUUUAGUAAGUCGGACGUGAAAGUUCCCGGCUCAACUGGGAGAUGCCGUUCGAGACUGCUAGACUAGAGGGCAGCAGAGGGAGGUGGAAUUCUGGGUGUAGCGGUGAAAUGCGUAGAUAUCCAGAGGAACACCAGUGGCGAAGGCGGCCUCCUGGACUGUCCCUGACGCUCAGACGCGAAAGCUAGGGUAGCAAACGGGAUUAGAAACCCCGGUAGUCCUAGCUGUAAACGAUGCAGACUUGGCGUUGGUGGUUUAAUAGCCAUCAGUGCCGUAGCUAACGCGAUAAGUCUGCCGCCUGGGGACUACGGCCGCAAGGCUAAAACUCAAAGGAAUUGACGGGGACCCGCACAAGCAGCGGAGCGUGUGGUUUAAUUCGAGGCUACGCGAAAAACCUUACCUGGGUUUGACAUGCACGUGGUAGGGAACCGAAAGGUGACCGACCCUUCGGGGAGCGUGCACAGGUGCUGCAUGGCUGUCGUCAGCUCGUGCCGUGAGGUGUCCGGUUAAGUCCGGUAACGAGCGCAACCCUUAUCCUGUGUUAUACGUGUCACAGGGGACUGCCGGUAUAAAGCCGGAGGAAGGUGGGGAUGACGUCAAGUCAGCAUGGCCUUUAUAUCCAGGGCUACACACACGCUACAAUGGCCGGUACAAUGGGUCGCGAAGCCGCGAGGCGGAGCCAAUCCUCCAAAGCCGGUCUCAGUUCGGAUUGUAGGCUGCAACUCGCCUGCAUGAAGUCGGAGUUGCUAGUAACCGCAGAUCAGCAGUGCUGCGGUGAAUACGUUCCCGGGUCUUGUACACACCGCCCGUCACGUCAUGGAAGCUGGCAACACCUGAAGUCGGUGACCCAACCGCAAGGAGGGAACCGCCCAAGGUGGGGUUGGUAACUGGGACGAAGUC
rnacentral:rRNA from 1 species